rnacentral:snRNA from 1 species
GGGUGAUCUGGCUGUGAUUCUGUAACAUCCUGGUUGCCAGGGUUGAUUUGGCUAACCUGGUUGGCUAGACAAGCGUCUCUGACCUCUCUUCCUUCUCCUUGUGUGGGCUCCUGAAGUUGGACUUCUCGUGGUAGAGGACAGAUUUUCCUGGUAAAGGAGGCCUUCCUCUGUCAUAGCUGUGCUCCCUUUCUAGCACUGCCCAGUAAGCUCUCAUGGUGCAUUUGCAGGAGAAGGUGGAGCAGUAAAGCCUCCAAGAUUCCAGAUAGAUCCAAAUGAGGUGCUGCAGAUAGCAGUCUGCCUUUAUUA